CCAGACUCCUACGGGAGGCAGCAGUGGGGAAUAUUGCACAAUGGGCGCAAGCCUGAUGCAGCCAUGCCGCGUGUAUGAAGAAGGCCUUCGGGUUGUAAAGUACUUUCAGUCGGGAGGAAGGUGGUAAGGUUAAUAACCUUAUCAAUUGACAUUACCGACAGAAGAAGCACCGGCUAACUCCGUGCCAGCAGCCGCGGUAAUACGGAGGGUGCAAGCGUUAAUCGGAAUUACUGGGCGUAAAGCGCACGCAGGCGGUCUGUCAAGUCGGAUGUGAAAUCCCCGGGCUCAACCUGGGAACUGCAUUCGAAACUGGCAGGCUGGAGUCUUGUAGAGGGGGGUAGAAUUCCAGGUGUAGCGGUGAAAUGCGUAGAGAUCUGGAGGAAGACCGGUGGCGAAGGCGGCCCCCUGGACAAAGACUGACGCUCAGGUGCGAAAGCGUGGGGAGCAAACAGGAUUAGAUACCCGUGUAAA
rnacentral:rRNA from 1 species